AGAGUUUGAUCCUGGCUCAGAACGAACGCUGGCGGCAUGCCUUAUACAUGCAAGUCGAACGAGAAAGUCACUUCGGUGGCGAGUACAGUGGCGCACGGGUGAGUAACGCGUAGAUGAUCUACCCUUCAGUCUGGGACAACUCUUGGAAACGGGAGCUAAUACCGGAUAAUACCUUCGGGUUGAAAGAUUUAUCGCUGGGGGAUGAGUCUGCGUACCAUUAGCUUGUUGGUGGGGUAAUAGCCUACCAAGGCAACGAUGGUUAGCGGGUCUGAGAGGACGAUCCGCCACACUGGAACUGAGACACGGUCCAGACUCCUACGGGAGGCAGCAGUAGGGAAUAUUGCGCAAUGGGGGCAACCCUGACGCAGCAAUGCCGCGUGAGUGAAGAAGGCCUUCGGGUCGUAAAGCUCUUUUAUGGGGGAAGAUGAUGACGGUACCCCAUGAAUAAGCACCGGCUAACUACGUGCCAGCAGCCGCGGUAAUACGUAGGGUGCGAGCGUUGUUCGGAAUUACUGGGCGUAAAGGGCGUGCAGGCGGAUUGGCAAGCCGGAGGUGAAAGCCCGGGGCUCAACCCCGGAGGGUCUUUCGGAACUGCCAGUCUUGAGAGGGUCAGGGGCCAGCGGAAUUCCUGGUGUAGAGGUGAAAUUCGUAGAGAUCAGGAGGAACACCGGCGGCGAAAGCGGCUGGCUGGGGCCACUCUGACGCUGAGGCGGCGAAGCGUGGGGAGCAACAGGAUUAGAUACCCUGGUAGUCCACGCCGUAAACGAUGGGCACUAAGCG
rnacentral:rRNA from 1 species